rnacentral:rRNA from 1 species
UACAGAGGGGGCAAGCGUUGUUCGGAAUUACUGGGCGUAAAGGGCGCGUAGGCGGCCAACUAAGUCGGACGUGAAAUCCCCGGGCCCAACCCGGGAACUGCGUCCGAUACUGGAUGGCUUGAAUCCGGGAGAGGGAUGCGGAAUUCCAGGUGUAGCGGUGAAAUGCGCAGAUAUCAGGAGGAACACCGAUGGCGAAGGCAGGUCUCUGGGCCACUACUGACGCUGAGAAGCGAAAGCGUGGGGAGCGAACAGG